GCCUACCAAAAGGAAAGAAAAAUGAUGCCUAAAAAUAAUUUUUUAAAAAAAUCGUUUCUCAGUGGUGUUUUCCUUUCUGGAAUGUGCUUUGAAAAGCAGGAACCUUCACCCCCUGGGCGGGGAAACAAAGUGCUUCAGACGCAGUGCCUUUCUUAGGGUGGAAAAACAAAGUGUUGUGAGGCGCAGUGGUGGCGCACGCCUGCGAUCCUGGUGACUUGGGAGGCUGGGGCAGGAGGAUGGCAGCUGAGGUCGGCCUGGACAACUCGGCAAAACCCUGCCUCAAAAUAAAAAGCAAAUGGGGCUCAGGGUGCAGGUCAGUGGUAGAGCGUCCCAGGGUUCAAUCCCCAGUACAAAAAACAAAAACAAAAAAAAACCUCAAAAUAUGGAGGCUGGGGAUUCGGCUCGGUUGGCAGAGUGCUUGCCUCGCAUUCACAAGGCCCUGGGUUCAAUCCCCAGCACCACCAAAAAAGAAAAAAACAUCAAAUGCACAGAGGCUCCCAGCUCCCCAGCCCUGCGGGGUUGGACUUUCCUAGAGAGGCCCAUCCUCUGGUGCAGAAGGAAGUCAGUGUUCGGGGCCGGUCUCAGCCCCGGUUUCCUGCACCUGCUGAGCCAUCUGGGCCUCUGUUUUAGUGCACGCUAGUGGCCCCGAGUGUCUAGGGCAGACUUGGGACAUCGGUGGGGGAGCUCACAGAGAGGGAGUGGGGCUUCAAAGCUGUCACUCUGUCCUUGCUGACUCUACCCUGCUGUCCCAUGGGCUGGUCCGGGCUCUGGGGAGGCCACAGCCAUGCCGAGGUCCACCUGGGAGCAGCUCCUGUCCCCAGCCACGCAGUGCGCCCUCCUGCACACGGAUGGGACCACCAGCUCGGGAAAGACCCCCUGCCCGUCACCUUCCAAUUCCUGACCCACAGAAACCGGGAGGUCGUGUUGACUUUCAUUUUAAGCGGCUAAGUUUUGCAGCGGUUUGUUAUGCAAAAAUAGACCAUUCCCAGACCCGCCCUCCCAUCUACAAGGCCCCGACUCCUCCUGCUUGGCUUUGAUGCCCAGAGGGGUCUCUCCCGCCCCGCCCCAUCCCUCUCGGGCGUCCACUGGAGCUAGAGGGAAGGACAGCUCCCCAGAGCUGGCCUGUGCUGUGACGGUGCCCUUCAUCAUCCACCCUGAUUUCCCCCCCACCCCAAGAGGGAAGCAGGUGCUGUCCACAGAGAUCCUGGGGAUGAGUGAAUCCAGGUCCAACUGCCACCUCGUCACCCAUCUAGGAGCCGUGCCAACCCUGCCCCAGGACCGCCAGAGGCAGCAGGCUGCUCCUGGCGUCCAGCUUCGGCUGCCUGGCGCGGCCGCCCGGGGAAGCUGUGGCUUCUUGCUUUUCUUAUCAUAGAUCUCUUUCCAGGCACGUCUGCACCCAGCUGGGGAGGAAAAGGCAGAAAGGAUAUUUUUGCCAGUCUGGUAAUUUCAACAGUCUUCAGUUGUGAUGUGGCUGAGGAGGGGGAGGGGCUCCCGGCUCUAAGCCCACCUCCCACCCUCCCCCAACCCACCCCCAGCCCCUAGGAUGGUCCCUGGGGAGAUGGGGACACACUCACACACUCACUGGGGACACUAGGAAGUGGACUGGGAACCCCUGAGGCACUCCUGGUGCACACAGCUUGUGUUCUAGAACUAGGGCCAUCUCUCAUCACCUGGGGCUUAGGCUCAGGACAGGUGCGGCCACUGAGGGGCUGCAGCGCCAGUCUGGCCGUGAGCCCAUGGACUGUGAGCGUGAGUCACCAAGUGAUCCUUUCUCUAAUUUGUGCCAAAGCGUCCCUGGGCUGGCACGGGCCCUGGCAGCAGCCGGAUGCCAGGUUAUCUGCCCCUGCGUUGUAUCCCUCACCUGCCGCAGCCUGUGGGUCCUGACCACAGGCCAGAGCUCUUUUGGCUUCUCCCUGGUCCUGUGCCAGGCCCAGGGGCGAUUCUGGGUACCUCACGGCUCUGCAGAGGCCAUAGAGGGCCGGGCAUCCUCCUACCUGCCCGCACCACCACCCGUGAGCCAUUGGAACACGACCAGGGAGACGUGGCCAGUCACUAGGUCCCCUCCCGGGGGCUAGAAGACUCCCUCAGAUUUCCUGGGGGAGGGAUCCUCUUCCCUGGUGGCCUCCCCCCUCCCCACCACUUCCAGCUUGAUUCUGAAUCCCCUCCCCCCCAGAGAGACCCCCCCACACACACCUGUGGGUGGGGUGGCCUGGAGGAAUUUCAGAAUUCCACACCCCUCCCCCAGCUUGCGGCCUUCCUGCAGAUGAGGACACUGACCAUCGACAUGGUCCCUUUCCCGCCUGUUUCGUGGGGUGGCACCUACAGAAAACGCCACGGGUACGAUACCUAUCGGUCCUGGAGGGGGUCUGGUACCCCAGAGGCGGCCGAGCUGCUCAGCCCCUGCCGGGCCACUCUGAGAGUAGAGGGGACAAAUCUCUUGGUGUCGACCGGGAAGACCUCCCUAGAGUGGACCUGUCGUGGGAAUGGGUCACUCGAAACACCUCUCCUCCCUCAUGAAGCCUGCUUUCAAGGCCCUUGUCCCUCUGCAGAGGUCAAGAGCGGCCGCUUGGCUGAUCAAUGGUCCCUUUCUUCUCCGCUAUUUCUCCUUCCGGGGACAAUAAGCCUCCUGGCUCAGCCCUGGGGCUGGAAGGAGAGCAGGGCAGUUUGAAGUGGGAAGGGGAAGCCUACAGGCGUGACUUGGGUGAAAGGGGACCCUCCUGCAGUUGCAAUGAUGACACUCCCUCGGGGGUGGGCUUGCUGGCCAGUCCCCCAAGAAGCCACACACUCUAAGAACUGCGGCGGCGGCGCUUGGUGGCUAAACAGCCCUCCACAAAGGCAGGAUCGGGUUACCUCCAGGGCUUUUCUUUUGCUGAGUGGCUUAUGCAAAUGUGGGGCCAGCCUGGUGACUCUGGGCAGGAAGGGGAGAGGGCACCGCCCGGCUUUCCAGCCACCCCUGAAGGCUCCUCGCUAAUCUCUAGGGAUUAACUCGGUUUGUUCUUGAACUUGAUGUAAAUACAAUAAUGCAGGAUGCCCCCCACCAGCGUCAGGUCCCUGGGGUCACCCGUGGUGUUGCAGACAGCAGCCACACACCUGUAAUGGAUGAAGCCCACCGAGCCCCAUCCACAGUCUUUUUUGGAGAUUGAACCCAGGAGCGCUCUACCACUGUGCUAAACCCUGGCCCUUUGUAUUUUUUUAUUUUGGGGCCAGAUCUCCCUAACUUGCCCAGGCUNNNNNNNNNNNNNNNNNNNNNNNNNNNNNNNNNNNNNNNNNNNNNNNNNNNNNNNNNNNNNNNNNNNNNNNNNNNNNNNNNNNNNNNNNNNNNNNNNNNNNNNNNNNNNNNNNNNNNNNNNNNNNNNNNNNNNNNNNNNNNNNNNNNNNNNNNNNNNNNNNNNNNNNNNNNNNNNNNNNNNNNNNNNNNNNNNNNNNNNNNNNNNNNNNNNNNNNNNNNNNNNNNNNNNNNNNNNNGGAAUGUGGGUGUGCCCUCCACCCCCGUCUCCCUCCAGCUUACCUGAAAUUUAUUUGGCCCUCCCAGGCUCCACCUGGACCAUGUCCAUUUUGGCUGUUGCCCAUGAGGAAGCUGCUAGAACCUUCUAUCCAAGCUUUUUCGUGGACAUCCUUCCUGUCUCCUGCUACGUGGGGAUUUUUUUCUUUUAUACUCUCAUUAAAGUAUUCUUUGCUUCUCGUGAAAGUAGCGUAGGUUCGUUUUGGAAAUGGAAUGUCUAAAACCCCAUCACCCGUGGACACCCCGUUGGCCUCCUUCCUUGUCUGGGCUCACGGUUGGGAGGUUUUACCCAGGACGGACAUAGAGGCCACUGGCCCCUGUCCCCUCCUUCAGCCCACACAGAUGUAGCCUGAUGGAGAUGAGGGCAGGUGGUCCCCCCAUGGCUGGCCGACUGUCAACCAGCCAUAGAUUGAGUGUGUGGGGGGGUGGGAAAUUGGAAAGCAGAUGUGGUGGGGGUAAGGAAGGGGUGGGCGGGAAGCAGCCUCAGGCCACGCUGUCCAGGAAGGGAGACAGAGAAAGCCAGUCCUCCCUCUCCCCAUUCUCCCUUCAGUGCAAACAUGGGUGUCCUCUCCUCUGUAGCUUGUUCUAUAUGCUCGUUUUUUGCUGAGCCUGUUUGAUCGUGAGCCUAGGUACAGGAUCACGUCUCACUCUGAACUUUGGUUUCCUCAUCUGUGAAGUGGGGAGGUGGCAACCCCUUUCUCCAAGAGCAGGGUUUCUCAAGCUGAGCACGGGUAACAGAGCUGGAUCAACCUCGGCUUGUCCUGAGCCUUGUAGAAGGUUCAGUAGAAUCCCGGCCUCUACCCGCUAGAAGCCAGCGCAUCCACCAGCCCAGCUGGGACAAAAACAUCACCAUACACUGUGACCAAAUGUCCCUGGGAGGGGGGCAAAAUAACCACUACCACCACCCCAUUAAAAAUCACUGCUCUAGAGCUCUAGCCUUGCACGGUGGCACACACCGGUAAUUCCACCAGCUUGGGAGGCUGACACAGGAGGAUCACAAGUUGAAGGCCAGCCUCAGCAAUGUAGCAAGGCCCUAAGCAACUAAGCAAGGCCCUCUCUCUAAGUAAAAUAUAAAAAGGGCUGAGGAUGUGGCUCAGUAGGUGAGCACCCCUGGGUUCAAUGGCAGGUGCCAAAAAAAAAAAUCACUGCUGUGGAGGCACCGUGGGUAUCACUGAGAUGACGCAUGGAAGGAGCUCGAUAAACGUCUGCCAUCGCUAUCUCUGAGGAGGUCCCUGCUGAAGGAAAUGGAAACUUACAAAACCCUCAGAGAAAAAGGGAGCUUAGGACUCUGACCUGCUGCAGUCUCCCUCGUCUGCCCCAAUCCCCCUGCCUGCCCCAAAGUAAUGGCCAAAUGGUCCCAUGACCUGGCCCUGCUAAACCUGUAGAACUCAGACCUGUUGUCACUCACUGCUGCCAUUUCCCUCUUGAAAACGUGCCCCUCUCCUGCUCGAUAAAGCAUCUCUGAUCCGAUGAGGUCUGUCUGUUUCUUUUUGUUUUCUCCUUCAUUGGCUUCUACCUGAACGGCAUGGACUUGUGGACAGGGCUCCUUCAUACACUCAUUUUCUUUCCUUCCUUCCUUCUUUCUCUCUCUCUUUCUUUCUUUCACAACAAAAAAAGGAGGUGCCCUUCUCCGUAGGUACAAGUAUCAGAAAUACAGCUCAGAAGUCCUGGCAUUCACAAGUGCCUUUUGAAAGUGGAGAAUGUCAAAGACAUGUAAAUCAUACUCUCUGGUGGUGACACAAGAGCCAGUCUUUCUGAAAGCUUUUGCAACUGGUAACUCAUUGGCUGCGGACCAAGAGUCCCAGCAGUUCCCAAACCCAGUCGUGAGCCCAGUGUUUGCAGAAGGUCUGGAUGGUGAGACCACACAGUUGGAAUGCACGGGGGUGGUGGUUUGGGAACGUGGUGUUCCCCAAAAGUUCGUGUGUGGGACCACGCAAGGACAUUCAGAGGUGAAAUGAUUGGGCUAGGAGAGUUGACCUAGAGCCAGUGGAUUAAUCCACUGAUGUGGAUUAAUGGGGUGGUAACUGUAGUCAGGUGGGGUGUGGCUGGAGGAGGUGGGUCACUGGGGUUUCCACCGGUGAGUGGAGCGCUCCCUGCUUCCUGGUGGCCAUGUCCUGGGCUACUCUUCUCUGCCACGCCCUUUGCCAUGAUGGUCUGCCUCACCUUGGGUCCAGACCUACAGAACUGGCUGACCAGGGACCAAACCUCUGAAACCAGGAGCCAAAAUAAACCUUUCUUCCUCCUCCUUGUUCUUGUCGCGUCUUUUGAUCAGGAGACCAUUCUGUGAACAGGAAACCCGCGGAAGGGCCCCUGAGCAGGGGGCGCCUGCUGGGGGAAGGACCUUCCUGUUGCAAGAGGGCCCAGCUGCAGAGCCAGGGGGGCCGAGGGGCGGUCCUCACACCCCUCUCCUGCCCUCUGCUACAGACAGGCAGCUGGCUGCCCGCUACCCAGGUCUCCCCCAGACAGAGGUGGUUCCAGGUCGCCCUCAUGCAUGGCCACCAGCAGCCACAGAAAACACCACUGUGUGUGACCGGGACCUGUUCCCUGACUUCUUCCCAGGCUGCUCAGGGAUCUGGGCCCAGGUAGGUGCUCUCACUUGUCUUUGGCUCAAUUUUUGCCCUGAGUCUACCUGAAGUCCUAGCCGUGCUGGGGAACAGGGACUUCAGAUCUUUGAAUCCUGCUACAUGUCACUGCGAUGACACCAGUCAGUAGUUCAUCCAGGGGUUAGCACUGCAGAGGUGAGGCUGGCAACCACGCCCACGGGCCACAGCCACGCCCACAUGCCUGGCCACAGCCACGCCCAUACUCCUGACUACAGCCACGCCCACAUGCCUGGCCACAGCCACGCCCAUGACCCACAGCCACGCCCAUGGCCCACAGCCACGCCCAUAUGCUAAGUGCAGCCUUCCCCUGGUCCAAAGCCACGCCCACAGAUCUAGCCGCAGCCACGCCCCGCCACCCAGCCAAGGCCACAGUCUCUGGCUGCUCUGAGACCCGCGCGGCCACACCCUCUGCCGCUGCCACCCCGCAUGGACAUUCCUUCUCACAGCUGCCCUCCGUCGAGUGGCUGCCACCACGUUCCAGAGAAAUGACUCACCGAGACUGUAGCUUUUGGGGAAAUCUGCUGCUAGUUUGUUUGGAUGUCCCAAAGGCCGGUGUGGCCAGAGGCCAACAGAUUGGCNAAAAGGGCCCAGUGGUCAAGCACCCCUGGGUUCCAUCCCAGGUACAGCCAAAGGGACAAGAAAAGGAAACUCUACAUUCAACUCAAAACCGUACUCUCAGGGACUCGGAGCGCCGCUGGGUGACCUCUGGGCCUGGAGCCCUGAGCCAACCCCAGCUGCCGGGCACUGCAGUCGGUCCAUCUCAGCAGGACAUUGGAAUGGCCCUCCACGUUUUCCUGUGCAGCCUAAUAAAGCCUCAUUUUCUCUCCUGUCCCUCUGCCACUAGGGUUCUUCACUCAGGGAAGCCGCGCAGGGGCCCGCAGAGCCCUGAGAGCUGCCCCAUGCCCCUCGGACGCUUUCCGUGUCCCUUUGGACUGCCUGUCCGGCUCCUCCCUCUAGAACGUGGGCUCACCAAGGUCACAGCCUGCGUCUGCCCCUUCCUUGUUUACAGGACAAAAAAUCAUUCGUCUGGCAAUGUCCUCAUUUCUUCUCUCUCACCCCACCACACUCAGCCUCGUGAUUGACAGCCGUCCCCUCCCCCUGGCUGCCGAGGAGGGGUGGAUCUGGAUCUUGAAGGGACGGAGGAGGGGGAGAGAGGGGAGUGAAUCAGAGUGAGUCUUCAACUUCAAGUGCACAGAGCCACCUGGGAUCCCUUUGAAAUGCAGAUGGAUUGGAGGGUCCGGGCUGUAGCCCGAGGUCCUGCAUUUCUAACCAGUUCUUCUGGGAGGCCAGCACCCCUGGUCCCCAGGCCACGCUUGGCUCCGCAGGGCUGUGAAGGACGUGAGCCUGGAGCUGGGUUCUGUGGAGCAGCUUCAGCCCUGAGAGAAACAGAAGAGGAAGAGGGACGUUUCUGAUGGGUGUUGUCACAGUCUUAGGGUUUGGUUGUCCUCCUUCGGGAACUUGAGCCUGUUGGCUGUCUGUCAGCGCCCGGCCGCCAGCCCGGCUUCUGCUACCCGCUUUCCGCUCCCAUUUGGUCGAGUGGCUGAGUCCCCCUCCCCUGCAUGUGACAUUGCAAGGCCAGAGGGAGCUCCCUUCCUGAAGCUGAAUCAGGCACUCUGUCCAAAACAGAGCUGCCGGAGCCGCCGAGGGAGAUUGUCCACGACCCUUCUGGAGCUUCUGGGUGCCUAGGGCUUCCAGCCCGACUCUCCGCCAUCCCUUUGCUGGGCUGAGCUCACCCACAGCCUUCCAGGAAUCCCGUUCUUGCCUAGAUGGGCCCGAGUCAAUUUCUGAUGCUUGUAAUCAAAUCAACCAGCGUAACAUCUUGACCUGUUUUGAAACAGUGUUUCAUUUCCAGAUUCUGUGUGUGUGUGUGUGUGAGAGAGAGAGAGAGAGGGAAAGAGAGAGAGAGAGAGAGGGAGAGAGAGAGAAUUAUCAAACUCCUGCACUAUUCUGAAGAUGGGGCUGGCUUUAGAGAGGUUGCACAUGGUAUCACUGCCUAGCACUGUGCCUGGGAGACAGACAGUAGGUGCUCAAUUAAUGGCCACAGAAAGAACGGGCGGUCAGAGCAUCCACGUUUGACCUCCAGCAUCUGCCAGCUGCCCCUGUGCCUAGGGACACAUGAGUUGGCCUAUCUGUCCCUAAGCACUAAAGUAGCAACAGCUUCUAGGCAAGUGGAGACAGGCUCGAGGAACUGAACCCAGAGACUCUUGCCACUAAGCUGCAUCCCCAGCGCUUUUUGAGACAAGUUCUCACUAAUUUGCUGGGGGGGGGGCCUCAUUCAGUUGCUGAGGCUGGCCUCAAACUUGCAGUCUUCCCCCUCAGGCUCCCAAGUCGCUGGCUUUCCCUGUGUUUCUAAAAACCAAACGCGGCACAAGGGUCAGAAUGCAGAAGCGUGAAGUGUGUUCCGUGAGUCUGUCCUGGUGGGAUUCCUACUCCCACUCAGCCUAGCGGGUGGCGCGUGCCUGGAGUGCCAGCUAUUUGGAAGGCCAAGGCGGGAGAAUCACUCGAACCCGCGUGUUCAGGAUCAGCCCGGGCAACAUAGCAGGACCCUGCUUUAAAUCAAAUCCCAUUGUAACACUGUGGCGUCUGUAGUGGAGACACUGUCCCUAAACCAAAUUCUACGUGCACUAUGAAGAUCAAUACCCCAAGCUGCGGGGCAAGGACUCUAAGUUCAAAUCCAUCUUAGCCGCCCGAUGAACUCGCUGUCCUCGGCCAUGUUCUCAUUUCUCUGGGAAAUGGGGUUGGUAUUAACAUCUCCCUCAACGGGCUUCUGUGCAGAUUCAAUAGGAUGCUGCCAAUGAAGGGCUCGGGUUCCCGUGCCCUCCCCCGCCCCCCGCACUUAACAGAGUGCAUAGAACUCUCCCAGCAACUGACAAAGUCAGAAUAUCAUUUCUUUUUCCCACUCCCCAAUAGAAGAUGUUUAGAAAGCUUUGCUCUAAUGGGGAUGAAAAAUAGAUACACAAACGGAGAGAAAACAUACUAUAGCCUUUGACGCUGGCCUCUGUGACGUCAUAUAUAUCUUUUAAUUUCUACUUGGGGCUCUCUUUGUUUUCCAGAUUCAUUUGCAGUGACCUUGUACGUUAUUUUUAUGACCAGAAGACAGCCCUGACAGAUGCUAUCUUUAAAGAGAUGAAAAGCUGGAUGGGAUGGCGCUCAACCGCAAUCCCAGCGGAUCAGGAGGCUGAGGCAGGAGGAUUGCGAGUUGAAAGCCAGCCUCAGCAACUGGAGGCUGAGGCAGGAGGGUCGUGAGUUCAAAACCAGCCUCAGCCACUUAGCGAGGCCCUGAGCAACU
rnacentral:lncRNA from 1 species